GCGGGUUAUGCAACAUGACCAAGUGACAUGUAUUCUAGGAAUGCAAGAUUGGCUUAACAUUCAAAUUUCAGUCAAGGUAAUCCACCCUGUUAAUAUAAUAGAGGACAGGAACUAUAUCAUCAUCUUCAUAGACAGAGAAAAGUAUUUGACAAUAUCUGACACCCAUUAGUGAUAAAAUCAUGUCUACACAAAGACAUGUGCUCAGAUGUUCACUGCAGCAUUUUGCAGGAAGGCCCCAGGGUGGAAACAAGCCAAAUGUCUACCAAUCAGUAAAGGGAUAAAGAAGUGGUAUAUCCGUACAGCCGAAUGUUACUGAGCCGUGACAAAGAACACACUACUGAUGCACGUUUGAGCCUCCAAGACAUUAUGCUAAUUGACAGAUGUCAGACACAGAAGACCACUUAUUGCACAAGUCAGUUUAUAGGAAAUGCCCAGAGAGGCAGCUCUAAAGAGAGAGAAAGGAGCUUGCUAGUUGCCUGGGUGGGCCUGGAGGUAAAGUAAUGGGGAUUGACUGCUGCUAGUGGGUACCAGCGAUCUUUCUGGGGUGAUGGAAGUAUUCUGAAACUGGAUAGUGGUGAGGGCUGCAAAACUGUGUAAAUUUACUAAAACUCACUGUGUUAUUCCCUUUAGGUACGUGAAGUUUGUGGCAAGCAAAUUAUACCUUAGUAAAGCCAUUUAAAAAAUGUAGUGCAAGUGUGACCGUAAGUCACGGAGGAAAGGGUAUGCAGUCAUUUUUUUCUACAACAGUAAGCAACAUCCCCUCUCUUUCCCUGUUCCGCGUCCUGCCUACAUGUCCUGCCUGGUCGCCUGGCUCCUCCACGUGCACUUGAUGCUCCAGCCAGAUAGACUGUGCACACCUGGGCAGAGGGAGUGCUGGUGAGUGCACAUGUCUACGUGUGUGUCUGUGUGCGGUGUGCACGCGUUCCUGCACAGGCACCCUGUGGGUGCAUGCACUAGUGACUGUCAAUCCUCUGUCUGUGGGCUGGCUCCCAUAAUCCAUGCUACGUCCUGAAUUCCACUGCCGGUUUUUCUGUUCACCAAUCUCAAGGACCUGGCUUCAGUUUCCCUGGUAACCAACCUCAGCCCUUAGCUUCAACCUCUGAGCACAGGAAGACAGCCAGAGUGGGGAGGGGUGUUGUCUCACCCACAGGGCCCCUGCCGGAGCUGAGCACCCCAAUGGGAUGAGUGGCAGCACGGUUACCAAGACAACAGAACUCUCGACCCCUUUCCACCUGCAAGGCUCUUCUCCCUCUCCUGGGCCUGCCGAGCAUCAGGUCGGAAAGUGCUGCAAAGAACAUGGGGAGUAUCUGG
rnacentral:lncRNA from 1 species